rnacentral:rRNA from 1 species
CAGUUGGCUGACGCAGACCCGAAACCAAGUGACCUACCCAUGACCAGGUUGAAGGCGCGGUAAAACGCGCUGGAGGACCGAACCCACGUAAGUUGAAAAUUGCGGGGAUGAGUUGUGGGUAGCGGUGAAAUUCCAAACGAACUUGGAGAUAGCUGGUUCUCUCCGAAAUAGCUUUAGGGCUAGCCUCGCAAAGAGGAUGCUGGAGGUAGAGCUCUGUUUGGACUAGGGGCCCGUCAAGGGUUACUGAAUUCAGAUAAACUGCGAAUUCCAGACAUUUAUGUGCGGGAGUCAGACUGCGAGUGAUAAGAUCCGUAGUCGAAAGGGAAACAGCCCAGAUCACCAGUUAAGGUCCCAAAAUUCAUGCUAAGUGGAAAAGGAUGUGGAGUUGCGCAGACAACUAGGACGUUGGCUCAGAAGCAGCCAUCAUUCAAAGAGUGCGUAAUAGCUCACUAGUCGAGUGACGCCGCGCCGAAAAUUUACCGGGG